UACGUAGGGGGCAAGCGUUGUCCGGAAUCAUUGGGCGUAAAGCGCGCGUAGGCGGCCCGGUAAGUCCGUUGUGAAAGUCAAAGGCUCAACCUUUGAACGCCGAUGGAUACUGCCGGGCUAGAGUCCGGAAGAGGCGAGUGGAAUUCCUGGUGUAGCGGUGAAAUGCGCAGAUAUCAGGAGGAACACCGAUUGCGAAGGCAGCUCGCUGGGACGUUACUGACGCUGAGACGCGAAAGCGUGGGGAUCAAACAGG
rnacentral:rRNA from 1 species